GUAGUUCUCGUGUUGUUAACCAAUCAAAGUGCUUACACAGUUGCAUUGGUAAAGUUAUAAGGAUAAAACAACUUGGAAAUGUGAGGUUUGGGAUUAUUAUACGGUUUGAUAAAUAUUCUCAAAAACACUCGAUCAUGUUUGAGAAUGGUCGUGUUGAAAUCUAUGACAUGUCAAAAGAAGACUGGGAACUUGUGAGAUUGUGAAGCAACUGUUGGGUAGGAAUUACUUCCUUGUGAGAUUGUGAUGCAUUUUCUCUUGCAAAUGUUGAUUAUUUUAUUAUUUACAUUUGCAUUCCGAAUGGCUUCCUUUGCCUUUAUAUUUAGUAUUUACUUAACUUUUCUUCUCUAUGGAUUACUUUAAUAUUGGCACGUGGGCUUUGAUGUAAUCUGACACAUUAAUUUUUGUGAUCAUUUGCAUUUAGUUAUGGGAAAUAAGUGGAAUAAACAUUCACUUGUCUUGUUUUGUAUGGUUAAGAAAUGAAUGACCUUUUCAUUCUAGUCCUAUGUUUGGUAUGCCAAAUUAAGAGAAUAAUGGUAUGGGGAAAGAAGCUAUUAAAAUUAACAGUUCAACCUUGGCCUAAAAAAUAAAUUCUUUUUAAAAACAUUUAAAAAAUUGUUAUAUAUUUUAGAUUCCAUAUAAUUCUCAAAUUGAGUGGGAGUGUUGUAAAUAUUUGUAAUUAUUGUAUUCUUUAUUAGCUAGAUUAGUGUUUCUUUACCAUAGAAUUAGUCUUUUCUUAUUAUAGUAUUUGGGUUUAUUCCCAUUCGGUCCAUUAGUCUCUAUAUGUAUUGUAAUGCUUUGAACCUGACAGCUUGAGAAAUAAUAUUAUUUACUCUUUUUCUUUUCAAUUGUAUCUCUCCAAAUUGCUACACUUCCAUUUGAUUUAUUGGCUUGAAAGUGGUGAAAAUAUGGGCACCUUCUUCAAGUUAAUGGCAGAGAAGGGGUUUCAAGAUUUCUUUCUGGCUGCCAUAUCGUGAACUUCUGGGAUCGGCUCUACAAGACACUUUAAGUCAGUGUAAAUUUAGCGUGAUGGAUUUUUCAAAGAAAUAUGGGCUUGGUACUGCCUGCUCCAUGCCAUCACAAAGGGACAUCCCUGGUUUGGUGACUGGGGUUAUCAAUUUGGCUCUGCUGGCUAUGGCCUCACACUGGAAGCAUAAAGACUACUUUUGAAAGCCUGUCCAUUUUGUUUAUUGAUGGGUUUGGUUCACGAUGCUCGUGAGACUGCAUCAAUGACAUCACCUGCAAGAAGUGCCAACUCAAUGGUGACAUGGUGCGUGUUGAGGAAGUGAUGCUCAGAGUGUUGCAUGCUGCUUCCGGGUCCAUUUGGGUGAGCUGGCAUGCUCUUAGGGGUCUACAAGGUGGCUUCUGCAGAGCUGCUUGAUAACCUGCCUUGGAGAACUGGGUGGAAAAGUGGUCUUUGGUGCAAUGAUUGUUAAUACGCGAUGCAAUCUUCAAUCUGGAGCUUUUGAGUACUGAGUACAGAUUAUGAUGAACUAUGUUCCCGAGGACACAAGGACUCUUGCAAUGAGCUCAGCUCAGAAACUUCGUGACUGCAAGCUGUUUGUAAAAGAUUAUAGGUCUGAGAUGUUGCCAAUGGCACAUUUGUACAGAAUACGCCUCACAUGUCACGUGGAACUUGUGGAAGAAUCUGAAAAUUCUGCCGCUAAAAUUCCCGCAGAAUUGGUUGUGCUACUGCCGCCCAUAAGUUUCACGCUGUCUGACCUUAAAAUUGAAGCAGUAAUAUUCCAGAUUAACAAGUGGUUUCAAGUUCGAGUUCUAGGUAUGUAGCUGUGUUAAAAAUUUGAUAAGGAGAGCUUUACCGCCUUUAUAGUCCUACCUAGCUCAACUGAUUAAUCGAUUAAUUGAUGAAUCGGUGAAAAAAUCUCAAAAAAAAAAGCAGCAAAUGCUUUUCAAGAUGUAUAUACCUCAUGAUAUUUACGCAAUUUUUUUCUAAGAUUUUUUUUUUUUUA